rnacentral:rRNA from 1 species
GAUGAACGCUGGCGGCGUGCCUAAUACAUGCAAGUCGAGCGAACAGACGAGGAGCUUGCUCCUCUGACGUUAGCGGCGGGCGGGUGAGUAACACGUGGAUAACCUACCUAUAAGACUGGGAUAACUUCGGGAAACUGGAGCUAAUACCGGAUAAUAUAUUGAACCGCAUGGUUCAAUAGUGAAAGACGGUUUUGCUGUCACUUAUAGAUGGAUCCGCGCCGCAUUAGCUAGUUGGUAAGGUAACGGCUUACCAAGGCAACGAUGCGUAGCCGACCUGAGAGGGUGAUCGGCCACACUGGAACUGAGACACGGUCCAGACUCCUACGGGAGGCAGCAGUAGGGAAUCUUCCGCAAUGGGCGAAAGCUUGACGGAGCAACGCCGCGUGAGUGAUGAAGGUCUUCGGAUCGUAAAACUCUGUUAUUAGGGAAGAACAAAUGUGUAAGUAACUAUGCACGUCUUGACGGUACCUAAUCAGAAAGCCACGGCUAACUACGUG